rnacentral:rRNA from 1 species
UACGUAGGGCGCGAGCGUUGUCCGGAAUUAUUGGGCGUAAAAAGCUCGUAGGCGGCUUGUCGCGUCGGAUGUGAAAGCCCGGGGCUUAACUCCGGGUCUGCAUUCGAUACGGGCAGGCUAGAGUUCGGUAGGGGAGAUCGGAAUUCCUGGUGUAGCGGUGAAAUGCGCAGAUAUCAGGAGGAACACCGGUGGCGAAGGCGGAUCUCUGGGCCGAUACUGACGCUGAGGAGCGAAAGCGUGGGGAGCGAACAGG